rnacentral:misc_RNA from 1 species
AAUUCUCAACUCUGAUUUGAUUUUUCUAAUCGGAGCUUGGACUUGGAGCGUGCUGGCGUCUAGUCGGCUCCUCUCAAAUGCAUCAGCGGAAUAUAACCUUUGGUUUCCGGACGUCGGUGUGAUAAUAAAGUUGCGCCGUCAUUCGACUUCAAAGUCCGCUCAUAAUAGUCUUCGGACGAACUCUUAUAUCAA